UUGAAAAACGAACUUUAGAGAAGGUUAGCACUCUCCUUGACAAGGAUGGAAGAGGCCCUUGCCUGACAACACGCAUACGGUUAAGGUGUUGCCACCUACUUUGUGGCAUCUAACCAUUGUUUUUG